rnacentral:rRNA from 1 species
UACGUAGGGUGCAAGCGUUGUCCGGAAUUAUUGGGCGUAAAGAGCUCGUAGGCGGUCUGUCGCGUCGGCUGUGAAAACCCGGAGCUCAACUCCGGGCCUGCAGUCGAUACGGGCAAACUGGAGUACUGCAGGGGAGACUGGAAUUCCUGGUGUAGCGGUGAAAUGCGCAGAUAUCAGGAGGAACACCGGUGGCGAAGGCGGGUCUCUGGGCAGUAACUGACGCUGAGGCACGAAAGCGUGGGGAGCAAACAGG